rnacentral:rRNA from 1 species
GACGAACGCUGGCGGCGUGCUUAACACAUGCAAGUCGAACGGUGAAGGGGCCUGCUUUUGUGGGUCCUGGAUGAGUGGCGAACGGGUGAGUAACACGUGAGUAACCUGCCCCCUUCUUCUGGAUAACCGCAUGAAAGUGUGGCUAAUACGGGAUAUUCUGGGUCUGUCGCAUGGUGGGCCUGGGAAAGGUUUUUUUCCGGUGGGGGAUGGGCUCGCGGCCUAUCAGCUUGUUGGUGGGGUGAUGGCCUACCAAGGCGGUGACGGGUAGCCGGCCUGAGAGGGUGGACGGUCACACUGGGACUGAGACACGGCCCAGACUCCUCGGGAGGCAGCAGUGGGGAAUAUUGCACAAUGGGCGCAAGCCUGAUGCAGCGACGCCGCGUGAGGGAUGGAGGCCUUCGGGUUGUGAACCUCUUUCGCCAGUGAAGCAGGCCUGCUCCUUUUUUGUGGGUGGUUGACGGUAGCUGGAAAAAGCGC